AGGCAAAUCUACCAUGAAUUUUUCGCUGGGUCUUGGCUUAAGCUAGGCAAGAAACUUGAAUGAUUUUGGGAUUCCUGCGCUCAAAUUUGUGGAAAAGAGAAAUACCGGAAACAAGCUUGAAAUUGAAACCGAUCGGUUUCAAAAAUCUCCGAUUUUUGUUCUUUUUGUUGUUGAUCUCUUUUCAGAUUCAUCUUCUUGUUGCGGUUCCUCAAGAUUCCGUUGUUGUUUUCUGUUUUCGAAUCGAAUUUUUGUUAGAUU